rnacentral:sRNA from 1 species
AUACUUGAUUUGUUUCUUGUAACUGAUUUCUCUAGUACAGAACCUGCUAAGGCCAUCAAACCUAUUGAUCGGAAGUCAGUCCAUCAGAUUUGCUCUGGGCAGGUUGUACUGAGUCUAAGCACUGCGGUGAAGGAGUUAGUAGAAAACAGUCUGGAUGCUGGUGCCACUAAUAUUGAUCUAAAGCUUAAGGACUAUGGAGUCGAUCUUAUUGAAGUUUCAGACAAUGGAUGUGGGGUAGAAGAAGAAAACUUUGAAGGCUUAAGUAAGUUGACUUUUUCUAAUCCUAUUAUAAAAUAAUUGGGCCACAUGUCUCAGAAUUUUGAGUAACACUGUCUUGGGAAACGCAAAAACAGUUUUUUAAAACCAGUUACUAGAUAUCAUGUAUAUUUUGUUGUUAUAGCACUUGAGAUAUCUUAGUCCUUACUUUACACUCUCUUUCAGCUCUGAAACAUCACACAUCUAAGAUUCAAGAGUUUGCCGACCUAACUCAGGUUGAAACUUUUGGCUUUCGGGGGGAAGCUCUGAGCUCACUUUGUGCACUGAGGUGAUACAAUAUUUUUAUCCAUUCACUUGACCCCUUAGAGAAACCUCUCUGAAAAUUAAUUGGAAUCGUUAUUAUUUUCAGUUUUCUAUCUCAACAUCUCAACUUCUAGCUUCUGAAUUUCUGUUUUGUCUCGCUGCCAAUCUAAGUCAUAGUACUUCUGAAAUGUGAGCAAUAAAUGAAUGAAAUGAAGCAAAUAGUAUUGUUAAAAAAAUGGUUACCCUUGUUAGAACAGUAAUUCUCAAUUUUAACCUAACAUGUAGAUAAUAAAUGAUAGUUACCGUUGGUUUUCAUUAUCAAUUUUUACGGAAACAUUUCACCAAAGCACUAUUUAAUUAUAGCACAGAUAUGAAAUUUUUAUAAAUAAUUAUAUAUAUAUA